rnacentral:rRNA from 1 species
CUGGAGGUAUCAGAAGUGCGAAUGCUGACAUAAGUAACGAUAAAGCGGGUGAAAAGCCCGCUCGCCGGAAGACCAAGGGUUCCUGUCCAACGUUAAUCGGGGCAGGGUGAGUCGACCCCUAAGGCGAGGCCGAAAGGCGUAGUCGAUGGGAAACAGGUUAAUAUUCCUGUACUUGGUGUUACUGCGAAGGGGGGACGGAGAAGGCUAUGUUGGCCGGGCGACGGUUGUCCCGGUUUAAGCGUGUAGGCUGGUUUUCCAGGCAAAUCCGGAAAAUCAAGGCUGAGGCGUGAUGACGAGGCACUACGGUGCUGAAGCAACAAAUGCCCUGCUUCCAGGAAAAGCCUCUAAGCAUCAGGUAACAUCAAAUCGUACCCCAAACCGACACAGGUGGUCAGGUAGAGAAUACCAAGGCGCUUGAGAGAACUCGGGUGAAGGAACUAGGCAAAAUGGUGCCGUAACUUCGGGAGAAGGCACGCUGAUAUGUAGGUGAAGCGACUUGCUCGUGGAGCUGAAAUCAGUCGAAGAUACCAGCUGGCUGCAACUGUUUAUUAAAAACACAGCACUGUGCAAACACGAAAGUGGACGUAUACGGUGUGACGCCUGCCCGGUGCCGGAAGGUUAAUUGAUGGGGUCAGCGCAAGCGAAGCUCUUGAUCGAAGCCCCGGUAAACGGCGGCCGUAACUAUAACGGUCCUAAGGUAGCGAAAUUCCUUGUCGGGUAAGUUCCGACCUGCACGAAUGGCGUAAUGAUGGCCAGGCUGUCUCCACCCGAGACUCAGUGAAAUUGAACUCGCUGUGAAGAUGCAGUGUACCCGCGGCAAGACGGAAAGACCCCGUGAACCUUUACUAUAGCUUGACACUGAACAUUGAGCCUUGAUGUGUAGGAUAGGUGGGAGGCUUUGAAGUGUGGACGCCAGUCUGCAUGGAGCCGACCUUGAAAUACCACCCUUUAAUGUUUGAUGUUCUAACGUUGGCCCCUAAUCGGGGUUGCGGACAGUGUCUGGUGGGUAGUUUGACUGGGGCGGUCUCCUCCUAAAGAGUAACGGAGGAGCACGAAGGUUGGCUAAUCCUGGUCGGACAUCAGGAGGUUAGUGCAAUGGCAUAAGCCAGCUUGACUGCGAGCGUGACGGCGCGAGCAGGUGCGAAAGCAGGUCAUAGUGAUCCGGUGGUUCUGAAUGGAAGGGCCAUCGCUCAACGGAUAAAAGGUACUCCGGGGAUAACAGGCUGAUACCGCCCAAGAGUUCAUAUCGACGGCGGUGUUUGGCACCUCGAUGUCGGCUCAUCACAUCCUGGGGCUGAAGUAGGUCCCAAGGGUAUGGCUGUUCGCCAUUUAAAGUGGUACGCGAGCUGGGUUUAGAACGUCGUGAGACAGUUCGGUCCCUAUCUGCCGUGGGCGCUGGAGAACUGAGGGGGGCUGCUCCUAGUACGAGAGGACCGGAGUGGACGCAUCACUGGUGUUCGGGUUGUCAUGCCAAUGGCACUGCCCGGUAGCUAAAUGCGGAAGAGAUAAGUGCUGAAAGCAUCUAAGCACGAAACUUGCC